UACGAGAGGCCCCAAACGUUAUUCGGAAUUACUGGGCUUAAAGAGUUCGUAGGCGGCGCGGAAAGUGGGGUGUGAAAGCCCUCGGCUCAACCGAGGAAUUGCGCUCCAAACUGCCGUGCUUGAGGGACCUAGAGGUGAGCGGAACUGAUGGUGGAGCGGUGAAAUGCGUUGAUAUCAUCAGGAACACCCGGAGGCGAAGGCGGCUC
rnacentral:rRNA from 1 species